rnacentral:ncRNA from 1 species
GUAAAAAUGAGGAUAGGGAAAAGUAAUUGGUGAAAGAUUUCAAAGAGAAUGAGGUUAGGUGAAAGCUCAUAAAUUAUUAGCUAGUGAAAAUCACCCUGGAGUUGUUUAACUGAAAUAUAAGUAAGUUAUACCGGCAGAGCCGUUAAUUGAAUUAAGUAAAAAAUUGGGUGGUACCGCGGACCAAACUUCUCGCCCCAGAG